rnacentral:rRNA from 1 species
GACGAACGCUGGCGGCGUGCUUAACACAUGCAAGUCGAGCGGUAAGGCCCUUUCGGGGGUACACGAGCGGCGAACGGGUGAGUAACACGUGGGUGACCUGCCCUUAGCUCUGGGAUAAGCCUGGGAAACUGGGUCUAAUACCGGAUAUGACUCCAUGACGCAUGUUGUGGGGUGGAAAGCCUUGUGCGGCUAGGGAUGGGCCCGCGGCCUAUCAGCUUGUUGGUGGGGUGAUGGCCUACCAAGGCGACGACGGGUAGCCGGCCUGAGAGGGCGACCGGCCACACUGGGACUGAGACACGGCCCAGACUCCUACGGGAGGCAGCAGUGGGGAAUCUUGCGCAAUGGGCGAAAGCCUGGCGCAGCGACGCCGCGUGGGGAUGACGGCCUC